AUUGAACGCUGGCGGCAGGCCUAACACAUGCAAGUCGAGCGGAUGAGUGGAGCUUGCUCCAUGAUUCAGCGGCGGACGGGUGAGUAAUGCCUAGGAAUCUGCCUGGUAGUGGGGGACAACGUUUCGAAAGGAACGCUAAUACCGCAUACGUCCUACGGGAGAAAGUGGGGGAUCUUCGGACCUCACGCUAUCAGAGGAGCCUAGGUCGGAUUAGCUAGUUGGUGAGGUAAAGGCUCACCAAGGCGCCGAUCCGUAACUGGUCUGAGAGGAUGAUCAGUCACACUGGAACUGAGACACGGUCCAGACUCCUACGGGAGGCAGCAGUGGGGAAUAUUGGACAAUGGGCGAAAGCCUGAUCCAGCCAUGCCGCGUGUGUGAAGAAGGUCUUCGGAUUGUAAAGCACUUUAAGUUGGGAGGAAGGGCAGUAAGUUAAUACCUUGCUGUUUUGACGUUACCAACAGAAUAAGCACCGGCUAACUUCGUGCCAGCAGCCGCCGUAA
rnacentral:rRNA from 1 species